rnacentral:rRNA from 1 species
AACGUAGGACACAAGCGUUAUCCGGAGUUACUGGGCGUAAAGGGCGUGUAGGCGGACGUGUAAGUCUAUUCUGAAAGCUCCUGGCUAAACUGGGAGAGGCGAAUGGAGACUGCAUAUCUAGAGUGAGGAAGAGGAAAGUGGAAUUCCGCGUGUAGUGGUGAAAUGCGUAGAUAUGCGGAGGAACACCGAUGGCGAAGGCAAUCCCCUGGACCUGUACUGACGCUCAUGCACGAAAGCGUGGGGAGCAAACAGG